UCAGAACUGAGAACCCACUAGGCAGCCAUUAUCUGCCUCCUGUCCAAACACAUGUGAGCCACAUCCAGAGGAAACCCAGAGUCAGUAGCGGCUUGACCAGGACUCAUCAUCCUCAGCUGCAUGACAGAUCCCAAAGGCAUUAGAAAACAAGACGAGCAGGAACGAUAGGCUAUUAUUGCAGCUGCUGUGCUGGUUCUCUGCCCAGCUACAGGCGCAGCGGCGUCAAGAACUUCUCGUUGAUGAAGACGGAUGGGCAAGAGGAAGACGUGUAUCCACCAAGACUCGAGGUGCUGAAGCUUCUGCUGGCUGGACCACCAGGGCUGCUGCAGCCAUCGUGUUCAGAGGAUGUCACCACCGAGCUCCCCCUGUUCUGGUUCCAUGAUGCCUGCCAAGACGAGAGAGAGCUGCUGCUGAGGCUGCUGAAUUCAUUGGAGCGGCUGGUCAUCCUGGCCGGUGGUGGGGAAGUAGGGGAAGGUGUAUGAACUAAGCUGCCUGCUGCUGCUGCCGGGAAAGAGAAGUGGCACCUUGGAGAAUAUGGUCUGUUUAAUUCCUGCCUCCACUGAGCUGGGGUUAGCUAAUGCAUUACAAACACCUGCUCUGCUAUGUUCAUAAA